GCUCCUUCGGUCAAACCGGUCACAGUGUAUGUCAGCUCUUUACACCUGAACUCUGUGCUACGAGUCCAUUCUUUCUCUCCGACCAAAACCUGUGAUUAGAAAUCAAGGUUUUAACAUCACAGUUCCAGGAUGUCUCCUCCACCAUUGUACAGAGGAGGCUUCCAGGCCACGAUAAUAGAGUCCUUCCCAGUGUCCACGAUCCGUGGUGUGGGUGGGCCAGGAGGCACUGGAUAGGAGAAAAUAAAUUACAGAUUCCCAAAGAUUGAGCCUCCAUUAAGAACUUACAGAUGGCGUCCAUGGCAAUGGUGCGUUCGGUUGGCUCGCUGAAGGGCCCAGGCCCGGCCAAGUUCUCGGCACACACUCUGAAGAUGUAGGAUAUAGUUCAGGAUCUCACUGCCACCGUCAUCCUCGGGAGGCUCCCAGUUACAGAUGACCGAGGUGUCCCUGAUCUCAUCGAAGAUGAAGUUAAUAGGAGCGCCAGGUUUGUCUGUGACAGAGCAGAG